rnacentral:rRNA from 1 species
UACGGAGGGUGCAAGCGUUAAUCGGAAUUACUGGGCGUAAAGCGCACGCAGGUGGCUGAGUCAGUCGAUUGUGAAAGCCCUGGGCUUAACCUGGGAAUUGCAGUCGAUACUACUCAGCUAGAGUAUGGGAGAGGGCAGUGGAAUUCCCGGUGUAGCGGUGAAAUGCGUAGAUAUCGGGAGGAACAUCAGUGGCGAAGGCGGCUGCCUGGCCCAAUACUGACGCUCAGGUGCGACAGCGUGGGGAGCAAACAGG